CCUACGGGAGGCAGCAGUAGGGAAUCUUCGGCAAUGGGGGCAACCCUGACCGAGCAACGCCGCGCGAGUGAAGAAGGUUUUCGGAUCGUAAAACUCUGUUGUUAGAGAAGAACGUUAAGUAGAGUGGAAAAUUACUUAAGUGACGGUAUCUAACCAGAAAGGGACGGCUAACUACGUGCCAGCAGCCGCGGUAAU
rnacentral:rRNA from 1 species